rnacentral:rRNA from 1 species
AACGAACGCUGGCGGCAUGCCUAACACAUGCAAGUCGAACGAGACCUUCGGGUCUAGUGGCGCACGGGUGCGUAACGCGUGGGAACCUGCCCUUAGGCUCGGAAUAAUUCCCCGAAAUGGGUGCUAAUACCGGAUAAUUUCCUCGGAUCACACAUUUAUCGCAAUUGGAUGGGCCGGCGUUGGUUUAGCUAGUUGCUAGGGUAAAAGCCUACGAAGGCGACGAUCCAUAGCUGGUCUGAGAGAAUCAGCAGCCACACUGGGACUGUGACACGGUCCAGACUCCUACGGGAGGCAGCAGUGGGGAAUAUAGGAAAAUGGGCGAAAGGCUGAUCCAGCAAUGCCGGGUGAGUGAUGAAGGCCUGAGGGUUGUAAAGCUCUUUUACCCGGGAUGAUAAUGACAGUACCGGGAGAAUAAGCACCGGCUAACUCCGUG